rnacentral:rRNA from 1 species
UACGAAGGGUGCAAGCGUUAAUCGGAAUUACUGGGCGUAAAGCGUGCGUAGGCGGUGAGUUAAGUCUGUCGUGAAAUCCCCGGGCUCAACCUGGGAAUGGCGAUGGAUACUGGCUCGCUAGAGUGUGAUAGAGGAUGGUGGAAUUCCCGGUGUAGCGGUGAAAUGCGUAGAUAUUGGGAGGAACACCAGUGGCGAAGGCGGCUCACUGGACCGGUACUGACGCUGAUGCGCGAAAGCGUGGGGAGCAAACGGG